AUUGAACGCUGGCGGCAGGCCUAACACAUGCAAGUCGAGCGGAUGAAGGGAGCUUGCUCCUGGAUUCAGCGGGGGACGGGUGAGUAAUGCCUAGGAAUCUGCCUGGUAGUGGGGGAUAACGUCCGGAAACGGGCGCUAAUACCGCAUACGUCCUGAGGGAGAAAGUGGGGGAUCUUCGGACCUCACGCUAUCAGAUGAGCCUAGGUCGGAUUAGCUAGUUGGUGGGGUAAAGGCCUACCAAGGCGACGAUCCGUAACUGGUCUGAGAGGAUGAUCAGUCACACUGGACCUGAGACACGGUCCAGACUCCUACGGGAGGCCGCAGUGGGGAAUAUUGGACAAUGGGCGAAAGCCUGAUCCAGCCAUGCCGCGUGUGUGAAGAAGGUCUUCGGAUUGUAAAGCACUUUAAGUUGGGAGGAAGGGCAGUAAGUUAAUACCUUGCUGUUUUGACGUUACCAACAGAAUAAGCACCGGCUAACUUCGUG
rnacentral:rRNA from 1 species